rnacentral:rRNA from 1 species
AGUGAACGCUGGCGGUAGGCCUAACACAUGCAAGUCGAGCGACAGCGGGAAAGUAGCUUGCUACUUUUGCCGGCGAGCGGCGGACGGGUGAGUAAUGCCUGGGAAAUUGCCCGGUCGAGGGGGAUAACAGUUGGAAACGACUGCUAAUACCGCAUACGCCCUACGGGGGAAAGCAGGGGACCUUCGGGCCUUGCGCGAUUGGAUAUGCCCAGGUGGGAUUAGCUAGUUGGUGAGGUAAUGGCUCACCAAGGCGACGAUCCCUAGCUGGUCUGAGAGGAUGAUCAGCCACACUGGAACUGAGACACGGUCCAGACUCCUACGGGAGGCAGCAGUGGGGAAUAUUGCACAAUGGGGGAAACCCUGAUGCAGCCAUGCCGCGUGUGUGAAGAAGGCCUUCGGGUUGUAAAGCACUUUCAGCGAGGAGGAAAGGUUGAUGCCUAAUACGUAUCAACUGUGACGUUACUCGCAGAAGAAGCACCGGCUAACUCCGUGCCAGCAGCCGCCGUAAGAC